UACGGAGGGUGCAAGCGUUAUCCGGAUUCACUGGGUUAAAGGGUGCGUAGGUGGGUCUGUAAGUCCGUGGUGAAAUCUCCGAGCUUAACUUGGAAACUGCCAUGGAUACUAUAGGUCUUGAAUACUGUGGAGGUCAGCGGAAUAUGUCAUGUAGCGGUGAAAUGCUUAGAUAUGACAUAGAACACCAAUUGCGAAGGCAGCUGGCUACACAAAUGUUGACACUGAGGCACGAAAGCGUGGGGAUCAAACAGG
rnacentral:rRNA from 1 species